AUUGAACGCUGGCGGCAGGCUUAACACAUGCAAGUCGAGCGGGGUGAUGGUGCUUGCACUAUCACUUAGCGGCGGACGGGUGAGUAAUGCUUAGGAAUCUGCCUAUUAGUGGGGGACAACAUCUCGAAAGGGAUGCUAAUACCGCAUACGUCCUACGGGAGAAAGCAGGGGAUCACUUGUGACCUUGCGCUAAUAGAUGAGCCUAAGGAGGGUUAGCUAGUUGGUGGGGUAAAGGCAGACCAAGGCGACGAUCUGUGGGGGGUCUGAGAGGAUGAUCCGCCACACUGGGACUGAGACACGGCCCAGACUCCUACGGGAGGCAGCAGUGGGGAAUAUUGGACAAUGGGGGGAACCCUGAUCCAGCCAUGCCGCGUGUGUGAAGAAGGCCUUAUGGUUGUAAAGCACUUUAAGCGAGGAGGAGGCUCUUUUGGUUAAUACCCAAGAUGAGUGGACGUUACUCGCAGAAUAAGCACCGGCUAACUCUGUGCCAGCAGCCGCGGUAA
rnacentral:rRNA from 1 species